rnacentral:rRNA from 1 species
CCUACGGGUGGCAGCAGUGAGGAAUAUUGGUCAAUGGACGCAAGCCUGAACCAGCCAUGCCGCGUGCAGGAUGACGGCUCUAUGAGUUGUAAACUGCUUUUGUACGGGGGUAAAUUCCGGUACGUGUACUGGGUUGCAUGUACCGUAAGAAUAAGGAUCGGCUAACUCCGUGCCAGCAGCCGCGGUAAUACGGAGGAUCCAAGCGUUAUCCGGAUUUAUUGGGUUUAAAGGGUGCGUAGGCGGUUCGAUAAGUUAGAGGUGAAAUCUGGGGGCUCAACCGCGGCACUGCAGUUGAUACUGUCAGGCUUGAGUUUAGUAGAGGUAGGCGGAAUGCGUGGUGUAGCGGUGAAAUGCAUAGAUAUCAUGCAGAACACCGAUUGCGAAGGCAGCUUGCUGGACUACGACUGACGUUGAGGCACGAAAGCGUGGGGAGCAAACAGGAUUAGAUACCCGGGUAGUC